rnacentral:lncRNA from 1 species
NNNNNNNNNNNNNNNNNNNNNNNNNNNNNNNNNNNNNNNNNNNNNNNCCCCCCCCCCAGCCCCGUGCCUGUCCCUAGACACCCUGCAGCCCACCCUGACACCUGUUGUGUGUCACCCAACGCCACCCCCUUGGCUGCAGCUGGUGCCUCAUGUCCCUGUCACCCCCAAAACCCUCGCACCCAGCUCCCUGGUGUCUCGUCGCUGUCACCCCACGUCCUCAUCACCCUGUGGUUUUACAUCCUUGGUCACCCCCCGUCCAUGUCACCCCAUGUCCUCACAUCCAUGUUUACCUCAUGUCCAUGUCACCCCGUGUCCAUGUCACCCCAUGUCUUCACAUCCUUGGUCCCCCUAUGUCCUUGUUCACCCCAUGUCCUCACGUCCUUGUUCACCCCAUGUCCUUGUCACACUGUGUCUUCAUGUCCUUGGUCACCCCAUGUCCAUGUCACCCCAUGUCCUCACAUCCAUGUUCACCCCAUGUUCCUCACAUCCUUGUUCACCCUAUCCAUGUCACCCUGUAUCCUCACAUCCGUGUUCACCUCGUGUCCAUGUCAUUCCAUGUCUUCACAUCCAGGUCACCCCGUGUCCGUGUCACCCCAUGUUCCUCACAUCCUUGUUCACCCCAUGUCCUUGUCACACUGUGUCUUCAUGUCCUUGGUCACCCCAUGUCCAUGUCACCCGUGUCCUCACAUCCAUGUUCACCCCAUGUCCAUGUCACCCUGUAUCCUCACAUCCGUGUUCACCCCGUGUCCAUGUCAUUCCGUGGCCUCACGUCCAGGUCACCCCGUGUCCGUGUCACCCCAUGUUCCUCACAUCCUUGUUCACCCCAUGUCCGUGUCACCCUGUGUCUUCAUGUCCUUGGUCACCCCAUGUCCAUGUCACCCGUGUCCUCACAUCCAUGUUCACCCCAUGUCCAUGUCACCCUGUAUCCUCACAUCCGUGUUCACCCCGUGUCCAUGUCAUUCCGUGGCCUCACGUCCAGGUCACCCCGUGUCCGUGUCACCCCAUGUUCCUCACAUCCAGGUCACCCUGUGUCCGUGUCACCCCAUGUCCAUGUCCCCCCGUGUCCUCACGUCCUUGUUCACCCCCUGUCCCCCCGUGUCCUCACGUCCAUGUUCACCAUGUCCUCAUGUCCUCGUUCACCCCAUGUCCUCACGUCCUUCUCCUUCCGUGUCCCCGGUGUCCCCAGCCACUCCGU